GGUGACCGGACAGGCAUCUGGAAACGAGGAUCCUGCGUGCAGAGGGUUGCCCCACGGUCCUACUUGGUUGAGGUACAGGGAUCGCUAUACCACCGAAACAGGGUUGAUCUUCGGGCGGGAGAGCCAACUACACCACAGAACUCGGAGAGUCAAAUGCAGAGCAGCAUGCUGAGGGAGGUGCCCCCCUUAAACCAGGCGGGGGCUGAGGCACUGAUAGGGGAGCCGGGUGGUCACGCAGCAUGCGCUAUCCCACCUACACAAGCUGUCAACCCAGCUGUUGAUCCAAUGUCCACACCAACAAGGCCCCCAGCUAUGUCACGCUAUGGUCGGUUGACCAGGGCACCAAACAGACUUGAUCUGUAGUUUGAAUAGUCUGCCAUAAGGGUUUUGUUGUUUGAGUAAAAAAAAAAAAAAGAGGGGGCAGAUGAUAAUGUACUGUUAAUAAUGAGAAUGUUUAUUGUUGGUAUGAUGGAACUUGGUAUUUCAUUGUCGUAUUCAAUAGGCCUCAGUUCUAUGCCUAAGUUAUACAGGUAGCAUUACUUUCAUUAAGAAAAAGGAAGAUGUUGCAGGAUGCACUGCCACCCAGUGGUUGUUUACGUUCAGUACUACAUGUUGUCUUUACCCACUGUAACCUGUGCGUUACCACAACAUGAAUAGUCAAGUACACCAGCACUCUUGUGUCCUCAUUCUUGCAACAGUGCAAGCUGUCUCUCUGGAUGGCGGUCUCUCAAUUUAUGUCAGUCUUCUCAGACAGCCCACAAACAUUGGAAGACUUUCUGAUCAGAGACUGGAGCGGUGGUCCGGAGAGAGGAGGAUGUGGAGCCGGAGCUCGUCUGGGCGGCGGAGCGGGUCGGCAGCACCUGGUGUCGGUGUGUCCUGAGUCUAUCUGCUGUCAGGAGGCUGACCUGGACCAUACCAUGCGUGGUGAAGCAUGUGUAACAAAUGUUCGCACAUUUGGAGUACUGUGCCGGGAAGAGGACGUGCUGUCCCUGAAGGAUGUCCGAGCUGAAGGAUGUCCGAGCGGAGACACCGGAGCGUCCUGUCAACAGCAGUCUCUUUAGGUUGACUGCAUCCAGGCAGUUAACCCUUUGGGCCAGGGGGCAUUUGGGGAAGAAGAACAGGAUCCUGAUUCCAGCCUGUCAUCCACUCCAUCAGAGCUGUUUCCCCCUGAUUUACAGCUUGACCAUUUAUUUACUGAUGAACACUACUUCACCUAAGAGACUUGAGUAUCCGGUUCUUCGUUGACCUUCAGCAUUCAGUUGUUUGUCUUCACCUUUUCAGGCUAAAACCUGAGAAGCCAUCACCAUGUUGUUGUUUCACAUCAGAGUGUCCAGCAUCUUCAAGACAGACUAAGCUAACUUUUCAUAUUUUUUGCACAUUUAUAUUUAGGUUAGGUUAGGAGUAGGUAAGGUUUAUAGUAGAGUAUUUAGUUUGUAUAGUUUAGCUUUUUAUGCUUUUCUAGGGACAGUUAAGUUAGCAAAUCAAUUUAGUUAAGAUCAUUUACAGUUGCAUAUUAUUGUUACAAUUAUGUUAUUUUGUGAGUUAUUGUUGUACAGGCUAUAUUGCAGGACCAAGUGAGACGAGGAAGACCACUGCUUCCAAGAUGCCGCUCAGAAAGUGCGUUGGACAAGUCUCGACCUUGCAGAUCCUGCCCCACUUAGCCCAACCACUUCCGACCAUGGGGUACCUCAAAGACCUCCGUCAACCAGCCGGCUGUGGAUGAUGGAUAACGCACCCACAACUCCUUCUCCAGUCUACAAGGUUCUGAAAAUACCGACACCCCCACAGUCCAAGAACAGCUGGAUGACCUCUGGACCCACCUGCCCUCGUUCACCAGUUGAAAAGAUAGGCUUUUAAAAAAUUAUUCAAUUGUUAAUUCUGCACAAAGUGAUACACAAAACACUGUAUGUAUUCCAUUUCAACAAUCACAAACAUGAAAUGUAUAUUUAAAUACAUGACUUAAUGCAAAUCAAUCAUACUAACCAUCAUCUUUUUUUUUUUUUUUUAACCAACCUUUGCACACACUUCCAUCCAAGGAGAGGUUACAUCUUGAUGGUAACGUUUUAGAUUAACAAAACUUUUGUGAGAUUUGUAAUUGUUGUUUCUGGGGAGGGGGCGGAGAGGGUAAGUCUAAAUAUUGCAUGCAAGAGACCAACACCGGCGUCACAGGGGAAAGCUAUCUGAACACAACUAUCAAUCUACUUGGUUGCUUCAAAAUUUUACGAUAGUUUUGCAAAUCCUGACCCAGUGAGAAGCACAUCAAACAAACAAAAAAAGCAAUGGUAGAUUUUCAAGGCCUUUCAAUGACUUUAACAUUAUUUUCAAUAACAUUCAUUUUGCAAUUAACAGUAGUUUUAUCUUCUAAAACAUAGCUAUGAUGACAUUCAAAUGUAGAUUACCACAAACACAAUAAUAAACUUCAAGUCUCAUUGGAUAAAAUAAAAAAUUAUUGACAGUCCUGAAAUGAUGGGAUAAACAUCCUUAAUAAGCCCACAUUAAUGAUAUAUUAAUUUCAGGUGAAAUAUAUAUAUUUU